AGGAUGCAAGCGUUCUCCGGAUUUACUGGGUUUAAAGGGAGCGCAGACGGGUUUUUAAGUCUGCGGUGAAAGUUCGGGGCUCAACCCCGACACUGCAGUUGAUACUGGAGAUCUUGAGUGCAGGUGAGGCAGGCGGAAUUCGUGGUGUAGCGGUGAAAUGCUUAGAUAUCACGAAGAACUCCGAUUGCGAAGGCAGCUUGCUAAAGUGUAACUGACGUUCAUGCUCGAAAGUGUGGGUAUCAAA
rnacentral:rRNA from 1 species